AACAAACGCUGGCGGCGUGCCUAACACAUGCAAGUCGUACGAGAAAGGGUCCUUCGGGACCUGAGUAAAGUGGCGCACGGGUGAGUAACGCGUGGAUAAUCUACCCUUCAGUUGGGAACAACUCAUCGAAAGGUGGGCUAUUACCGAAUAACACUGCAAGACCCUGGUUGAGCAGUCAAAGAGAGCCUCUGCUUGCAAGCCCUCGCUGAAGGACGAGUCCGCGUACCAUUAGCUAGUUGGUAGGGUAAUGGCCUACCAAGGCGACGAUGGUUAGCUAGUCUGGGAGGAUGAACAGCCACACUGGAACUGAGACACGGUCCAGACUCCUACGGGAGGCAGCAGUGAGGAAUCUUGCGCAAUGGGGGAAACCCUGACGCAGCAACGCCGCGUGAGUGAGGAAGGCCUUCGGGUCGUAAAGCUCUGUCAGUUGGAAAGAAAUGCUUGAGAGUUAAUACCUUUCAAGCUUGACGGUACCAACAGAGGAAGCACCGGCUAACUCCGUGCCAGCAGCCGCCGUAAGAC
rnacentral:rRNA from 1 species